rnacentral:tRNA from 1 species
GCCUGGGUGGCUCAGUCGGUUGAGCGUCUGACUUCGGCUCAGGUCAUGAUCUCACAGUUUGUGAGUUCAAGCCCUGCAUCAGGCU